UGGCUCGAGGACGAACGCUGGCGGCGUGCCUAACACAUGCAAGUCGAGCGGAGUUGACAAGAGGAAGUUUCGGAUGGAAUUUGUUAAUUUAGCGGCGGACGGGUGAGUAACGCGUGAGCGACCAACCUUGCACAGGGGGAUAACGGACCGAAAGGUUCACUAAUACCGCAUGAGACCACGGUGUUGCAUGACACAGGGGUCAAAGGAGCAAUCCGGUGCAAGACGGGCUCGCGUCCGAUUAGGUAGUUGGAGGGGUAACGGCCCACCAAGCCUAUGAUCGGUAGCCGACCUGAGAGGGUGAUCGGCCACAUUGGAACUGAGAUACGGUCCAAACUCCUACGGGAGGCAGCAGUGGGGAAUACUGGGCAAUGGGGGGAAAAACCCCUGACCCAGCAACGCCGCGUGAAGGAAGAAGGUUUUCGGAUUGUAAACUUCUGUCCUUGGUGAAGAGAAGAAGACGGUAGCCAAGGAGGAAGCCCCGGCUAACUACGUGCCAGCCGCAGC
rnacentral:rRNA from 1 species